rnacentral:rRNA from 1 species
CAGAUUGAACGCUGGCGGCGUGCCUAACACAUGCAAGUCGAGCGGUAACAGGUGUAGCAAUACAUGCUGACGAGCGGCGGACGGGUGAGUAACGCUUGGGAAUCUGCCUGUUAGUGGGGGACAACCAACCGAAAGGUUGGCUAAUACCGCAUACGCACUACGGUGGAAAGCCGGGGACCGCAAGGCCUGGCGCUAACAGAUGAGCCCAAGUCGGAUUAGCUAGUUGGUAGGGUAACGGCCUACCAAGGCGACGAUCCGUAACUGGUCUGAGAGGACGACCAGUCACACCGGAACUGAGACACGGUCCGGACUCCUACGGGAGGCAGCAGUGGGGAAUAUUGGACAAUGGGGGAAACCCUGAUCCAGCGACGCCGCGUGGGUGAAGAAGGCCUGCGGGUUGUAAAGCCCUUUCGGUUGGGAAGAAAAGUUGCGACCUAACACGUCGCGACCUUGACGUAACCAACUAAAGAAGCACCGGCUAACUCUGUGCCAGCAGCCGCGGUAAUACAGAGGGUGCGAGCGUUAAUCGGAAUUACUGGGCGUAAAGCGCGCGUAGGCGGCUUUUCAAGUCGAUUGUGAAAUCCCCGGGCUUAACCUGGGAACUGCAGUCGAGACUGUCUAGCUAGAGUAUGGGAGAGGGAAGUGGAAUUUCAGGUGUAGCGGUGAAAUGCGUAGAUAUCUGAAGGAACAUCAGUGGCGAAAGCGACUUCCUGGACCAAUACUGACGCUCAUGUGCGAAAGCGUGGGGAGCAAACAGGAUUAGAUACCCUGGUAGUCCACGCCAUAAACGAUGAGAACUGGAUGUCGGAGGGGUCUGCCCUUCGGUGUCGUAGCUAACG